AUCGCGGAGGCCGAGUGGUUAAGGCGUUGGACUAGAAAUCAAUGGUGUUUUCCCGCGCAGGUUCGAAUCCUUGCUUGCGACG
rnacentral:tRNA from 1 species